UACGUAGGGGGCUAGCGUUGUCCGGAUUUAUUGGGCGUAAAGAGCGUGUAGGCGGCCAGAUAGGUCUGCUGUGAAAACUCGAGGCUCAACCUCGAGAUGUCGGCGGAAACCAUUUGGCUAGAGCCCGGAAGAGGAAAGUGGAAUUCCUGGUGUAGCGGUGAAAUGCGCAGAUAUCAGGAAGAACACCCGUGGCGAAGGCGGCUUUCUGGGACGGUACUGACGCUGAGACGCGAAAGCGUGGGGAGCGAACAGG
rnacentral:rRNA from 1 species